rnacentral:rRNA from 1 species
UUGGACGUGAAAGCUCCUGGCUCAACUAGGAGAGGUCGUUCAAAACUGCCUGGCUAGAGGGCGACAGAGGGAGGUGGAAUUCCCGGUGUAGUGGUGAAAUGCGUAGAUAUCGGGAGGAACACCAGUGGCGAAGGCGGCCUCCUGGGUCGCCCCUGACGCUCAGACGCGAAAGCUAGGGGAGCAAACGGGAUUAGAUACCCCGGUAGUCCUAGCUGUAAACGAUGUGGACUUGGCGUUGGUGGGGUCAAAUCCAUCAGUGCCGUAGCUAACGCGAUAAGUCCACCGCCUGGGGACUACGGCCGCAAGGUUAAAACUCAAAGGAAUU